rfam:Cricetulus griseus cell line CHO-K1, whole genome shotgun sequence.
UCCUCGUUAGUAUAGUGGUGAGUAUCCCUGCCUGUCACGAGGGAGACUGGGGUUCAAUUCCCCGCUGGGGAG